rnacentral:piRNA from 1 species
UUGGAUUUUUUCGGUCUUUCCGUAAUGCU